rnacentral:rRNA from 1 species
UCUGUGGAGGCGCGAACCGACUUCAGUUGAAAAUGGAGCGGAUGACCUGUGGAUAGGGGUGAAAGGCCAAUCAAACUCGGUGAUAGCUGGUUCUCCGCGAAAUGCAUUUAGGUGCAGCGUCGUGCGUUCAACGAUGGGGGUAGAGCACUGAAUGGGCUAGGGGUCCUACAAGACUACCGACCCCAAUCAAACUCCGAAUACCAUCGUUCCAGAGCACGGCAGUGAGACCUCGGGGGAUGAGCUUCGAGGUCGAGAGGGAAACAGCCCAGACCGCCGGCUAAGGUCCCAAAAUCUGAACUAAGUGGUAAACGAUGUGAGAUUGCGAAGACAGCCAGGAGGUUGGCUUGGAAGCAGCCAUCCUUGGAAGAGUGCGUAACAGCUCACUGGUCGAGUGAUCUUGCGCGGACAAUGUAACGGGGCUCAAGUUCAGUACCGAAGCCGCGGAUGCGACUCUUUGAGUCGUGUGGUAGCGGAGCGUCGAGCGUGCAGCGAAGCGGCGGGACAACCCAGCCGUGGAGCGCGUUCGAGUGCGAAUGUUGGCAUGAGUAGCGAAUGAGGGGUGAGAACCCCCUCCGCCGUAUGUCCAAGGGUUCCUGGGCGAGGCCAAUCCUCCCAGGGUGAGUCGGGAGCUAAGGCGAGGCCGAGAGGCGUAGUCGAUGCACAACUGGUUGAUAUUCCAGUACCACCAUGUUCGCGUCCGUCCCAAUACUCUGUCGCUAAGGGGCUGUGUUGACUUCGGUCAACGCGAACCGACCCACAUUGUUGCGGGAAGCUGUAGGGGGACGCAGGAAGGUAGAUGAACCCGGUGAAUGGUAGAACCGGGGUAAGCGUGUAGGAGGAGGACCAGGUAAAUCCGGGCCUCAUAAACUCUGAGACGUGAUACCGAGCCGCUUCAGGCGAAGUCAUUGAUCCUAUGCUGCCUAGAAAAGCCCAGCAGCAGUUGACAUGGUGCCCGUACCCCAAACCAACACAGGUGGACAGGUAGAGCAUACCAAGGCGAGUGGGAUAACUAUGGUUAAGGAACUCGGCAAAUUGCCUCCGUAACUUCGGGAGAAGGAGGACCCCAGUAGCGUGAUGAGACUUGCUCUCUGAGCGUGAAGGGGUGGCACAAAAUUGAGGGAAGCGACUGUUUACCAAAAACACAGCAGCGUGCUAAGCCGUAAGGCGCUGUAUACGCUGUGACUCCUGCCCGGUGCUGGAAGGUUACGGGGAUGGGUUAGUCCUUCGGGACGAAGCUCUGAACCUAAGCCCCAGUAAACGGCGGCCGUAACUAUAACGGUCCUAAGGUAGCGAAAUUCCUUGUCGGGUAAGUUCCGACCUGCACGAAUGGAGUAACGACUUCCCUACUGUCUCAACCAUAGACCCAGCGAAAUUGAAGUACGAGUAAAGAUGCUCGUUAGCUGCAAAAGGACGGAAAGACCCCGUGGACCUUUACUAUAACUUGAUGUUGUGC